AGUGAACGCUGGCGGUAGGCCUAACACAUGCAAGUCGAACGGCAGCACAGUAAGAGCUUGCUCUUACGGGUGGCGAGUGGCGGACGGGUGAGGAAUACAUCGGAAUCUACUUUUUCGUGGGGGAUAACGUAGGGAAACUUACGCUAAUACCGCAUACGACCUACGGGUGAAAGCAGGGGAUCUUCGGACCUUGCGCGAUUGAAUGAGCCGAUGUCGGAUUAGCUAGUUGGCGGGGUAAAGGCCCACCAAGGCGACGAUCCGUAGCUGGUCUGAGAGGAUGAUCAGCCACACUGGAACUGAGACACGGUCCAGACUCCUACGGGAGGCAGCAGUGGGGAAUAUUGGACAAUGGGCGAAAGCCUGAUCCAGCCAUACCGCGUGGGUGAAGAAGGCCUUCGGGUUGUAAAGCCCUUUUGUUAGGAAAGAAAAGCAGCAGGUUAAUACCCCGCUGUUCUGACGGUACCCAAAGAAUAAGCACCGGCUAACUUCGUG
rnacentral:rRNA from 1 species